AAGAUAUAGCUCAAGACACAACCACUAGUAAAUCGGAUCACUUACUACCCUUAGAUUGCAUAUGCUGACUUCAAAAUCCAAUAUCUCCUUCAUUUUAACUUAGAAUCCAGCAAGUAGUAUGCAAAAAGUGUAGCCACAAAAGUGUUAUGUCUAGUCGCAGUUGCCGAUCCUCAAUUGCCUUCUAUACGCAUGCAUCAUGUCAAAAAGAGUGACAAUAGCUCCCAAAUCAACUCCUUAACUUUGAGCGCCUAUAUCUCCAUAUAAACUCCAAAUCAUAGAAGAUUUGUACCAAAACCAUAGCCAAAAACUUGAGCUCUCU
rnacentral:lncRNA from 1 species